CGGACGGGUGAGUAACACGUGAGCAACCUGCCUUUCAGAGGGGGACAACAGUUGGAAACGACCGCUAAUACCGCAUAAAAUAACGGAACCGCAUGAUUCUGUUAUCAAAGGAGAAAUCCGCUGAAAGAUGGGCUCGCGUCUGAUUAGAUAGUUGGUGAGGUAACGGCCCACCAAGUUGACGAUCAGUAGCCGGACUGAGAGGUUGAACGGCCACAUUGGGACUGAGACACGGCCCAGACUCCUACGGGAGGCAGCAG
rnacentral:rRNA from 1 species